rnacentral:rRNA from 1 species
CCUACGGGAGGCAGCAGUGGGGAAUCUUGCACAAUGGAGGAAACUCUGAUGCAGCGAUGCCGCGUGAGUGAAGAAGGCCUUUGGGUUGUAAAGCUCUUUUGUAGGGGAAGAUAAUGACUGUACCCUAAGAAUAAGGUCCGGCUAACUUCGUGCCAGCAGCCGCGGUAAUACGAAGGGACCUAGCGUAGUUCGGAAUUACUGGGCGUAAAGCGCGCGUAGGCCGUUGAGUUAGUUAAUUGUGAAAUCCCAAAGCUUAACUUUGGAACUGCAAUUAAAACUGCUCGACUAGAGUUUGAUAGAGGAAAGCGGAAUACAUAGUGUAGAGGUGAAAUUCGUAGAUAUUAUGUAGAACACCAGUUGCGAAGGCGGCUUUCUGGAUCAACACUGACGCUGAGGCGCGAAAGUAUGGGUAGCAAAGAGGAUUAGAUACCCUCGUAGUCCAUACCAUAAACGAUGAUUGCUAGAUGUUGGAAAUUUAUUUUCAGUAUCGCANCUACNCAUANANAUCNCUGGNGAGACGCAGUAACUACAAGAAUAGAGNGNGAGAGNGCGAGACGACGACGAGGAGAG